UACGAAGGGGGCUAGCGUUGUUCGGAAUCACUGGGCGUAAAGCGCACGUAGGCGGAUGUGCCAGUCAGGGGUGAAAUCCCGGAGCUCAACUCCGGAACUGCCUCUGAUACAGCACGUCUUGAGUUCGAGAGAGGUGGGUGGGAUUCCUAGUGUAGAGGUGAAAUUCGUAGAUAUUAGGAAGAACACCGGUGGCGAAGGCGGCCCACUGGCUCGAUACUGACGCUGAGGUGCGAAAGCGUGGGGAGCAAACAGG
rnacentral:rRNA from 1 species